CUGUGAAAACCCCUAAAUCUGGCUGUUCCUGUUUGGAAGCAGAUGCUGCACUGGUUCAGUCCCAGUGGGCUUUGAUUCUAUUUGAACUGAGCAAAGCUGGCUAUCGUUUGAGUGAUCUUCAGAUAAGCUCUGGGAAAUCAGGCAAGAAUAGUGUUUCGGAUUAUUGAGAAAGACAAAGAAAUUGCUUGAUGUCAGCUUGUUGACGAUGGGCAGACCCUUACUUCUCCUUUCUUCUCCUCCUCAUAAAUGGAACAAGAGAGGUGGUCUUCUGAUUCUCUUUGUGCCCUGGCAAAGGAAAAGGUAGAGAAGAAGGGAGUAAGUGUCAGCUCAGUAAAGCAGAGUGCAAGAGAGCACGUGUAAGAGUGCAGCAGGAUCGCCUGUCAUCGCCUGUGGUGGGGGUGGAGAAACCUGGUCCUUCCAUGCCACCUAGUGUAGGAAGCAGAGCAGCAGUCCUGCGUAGAUGGGCUCUGCAAGCUGGGGUCAUUACGCAGAAAAUAAUGGAUACCUGAAGCCUGCCACGAAAUGAGCCACUUCUGCCCUGCAGGCAAACCCCUACUCAGUAGCUUGAUUUGAAAUUCUUCAUUUUUGAGAAUUAAAACUGGACUGUGGCUAAAAGGAUAUAGCGCUUGGUUUAGUUUUUUUUUUUCUUUCUUUUUUUUCCUUACAGGAUAGGAGAAAUUCUUAUUUUGUAGUUGAUUUGGCUGGAAAAGUUAUGGUCCAGAUAGCAGUUGCUCUAAAACACAGCAAUGGAUAAAAAUGGCCCAGAGUUGUGGUGUGCAGUUUAAUUGCUAAACAAUGCUUCAGAUGAAUAGUUAGAAAUAUUCCUCUCCAUAACCAGCUAAACCAAGGACUCAGUCUUACUUUGAAACCUUUCAUUCUAAUUUCUCUUUGAUAAAGAAGAGCAGAUGAG
rnacentral:lncRNA from 1 species